UAACUAUCCUUACUACGCGAUACGGGCC
rnacentral:sRNA from 1 species